rnacentral:lncRNA from 1 species
GAGUAGUCAUUGGAAAGCUAAGAAAAAGAUAUUCAAUUUGGUCAAUUCUACCAUUUUGAGGGUCAAAUUAGGCUUGGAAGUCAGAACCUCUGCACUUGAAUAAUUGGGCUAUGAGUUUAGGCUUUGUUUUGUGUAAUUAGUUUAAUUAGAUAGAUUAGAUGGGCCUAAUCAAGGCCCAUCCCUUCAUUAUGAAUAGUCACUCUAUAGAUUAGUGGAAAUUAG